GUGCCAGCCGCCGCGGUAAUACGGAGGGUGCAAGCGUUGUCCGGAUUUAUUGGGUUUAAAGGGUGCGUAGGCGGCCCGUUAAGUCAGCGGUGAAAUCCCACGGCUCAACCGUGGAACUGCCGUUGAUACUGGCGGGCUUGAGUACAGACGAGGCAGGCGGAAUUGAUGGUGUAGCGGUGAAAUGCAUAGAUACCAUCAGGAACCCCGAUUGCGAAGGCAGCUUGCUAGGCUGUAACUGACGCUGAGGCACGAAAGCGUGGGGAGCGAACAGGAUUAGAAACCCGGGUAGUCC
rnacentral:rRNA from 1 species